rnacentral:rRNA from 1 species
AACGAACGCUGGCGGCAGGCCUAACACAUGCAAGUCGAGCGGACCUUUCGGGGUCAGCGGCGGACGGGUGAGUAACGCGUGGGAAUAUGCACUUCUCUACGGCAUAGUCCUGGGAAACUGGGGGCAAUACCGUAUACGCCCUUUGGGGGAAAGAUUUAUCGGGGAAGGAUUGGCCCGCGUUGGAUUAGGUAGGUGGUGGGGUAAUGGCCUACCAAGCCGACGAUCCAUAGCUGGUUUGAGAGGAUGAUCAGCCACACUGGGACUGAGACACGGCCCAGACUCCUACGGGAGGCAGCAGUGGGGAAUCUUAGACAAUGGGGGCAACCCUGAGCUAGCCAUGCCGCGUGAGUGAUGAAGGCCUUAGGGUUGUAAAGCUCUUUCAGCUGGGAAGAUAAUGACGGUACCAGCAGAAGAAGCCCCGGCUAACUCCGUG